rnacentral:rRNA from 1 species
UACAGAGGUCUCAAGCGUUUGUUCGGAUUCAUUGGGCGUAAAGGGUGCGUAGGCGGCGCGGUAAGUCGGGUGUGAAAUUUCGGAGCUUAACUCCGAAACUGCAUUCGAUACUGCCGUGCUUGAGGACUGGAGAGGAGACUGGAAUUUACGGUGUAGCGGUGAAAUGCGUAGAUAUCGUAAGGAAGACCAGUGGCGAAGGCGGGUCUCUGGACAGUUCCUGACGCUGAGGCACGAAGGUCAGGGGAGCAAACGGG